rnacentral:lncRNA from 1 species
GGACCAGUUGGAUGUGCCUUUUUCCAUUUUUUUAGUUGAGUUCCCAUUCUUGGAGUAAUUUUUAAGAAAGAAAAAAGCAGCCCCAGCAACUUUCCCCUGGGAGCUGGCCUGGGUAGCUGGGCUGUGUUGUUUCUCUGCUGAAACAUCUACAAUUUCACAGAAUGCUAAGAUUAGACAAGCGCAUUCCAUGCCCAGGAUGGAGCAUGUAAGAACAAGAAUGCUCCAUAAUCACAGCUCUACACAGAUGAAAACAAAAACACCAUGAGCACCACAAAGAAGACCAACCACUCCUCCGACGAGCAUCUGCCAGUAAAUGUGACUGCUGCUGCUGCUUUAACCUGUUAGGGUGUAGCACACUCCAUUUCUCUUGCCCCAUAAAUUAAAAAAAAUUAAAGUAUCUAAUUACUGAAGUCCCCACUUCCCUUUCUGAGACCACUCAAACAAAAGCUAAUUCCUACUUCUUUGAAUUCUCCCCCAGAUUAGCUAACAUGAGCCCAAAUCCAAUCCCGU